rnacentral:rRNA from 1 species
AUACGGAGGAUCCGAGCGUUAUCCGGAUUUAUUGGGUUUAAAGGGUGCGCAGGCGGCCAUUUAAGUCAGCGGUUAAAUCGUGGGGCUCAACCCCAUUCUGCCGUUGAUACUGGGUGGCUUGAUUGCGGUCGAGGUUGGCGGAAUUCGUUGUGUAGCGGUGAAAUGCAUAGAUAUGACGAAGAACACCGAUUGCGUAGGCAGCUGACCAGACCGCAAAUGACGCUCAUGCACGAAAGGGCGGGGAUCGAACAGGAUUAGAUGCCCUUGUAGUCCGCACAGUAAACGAUGAAUACUUGUUUUCGGCGAUAUAAUGUCGGAGGCAAAGCGAAAGCGAUAAGUAUUCCACCUGGGGAGUACGCCGGCAACGGUGAAACUCAAAGGAAUUGACGGGG